rnacentral:rRNA from 1 species
UACGAAGGGUGCAAGCGUUACUCGGAAUUACUGGGCGUAAAGCGUGCGUAGGUGGUGCGUUAAGUCUGUCGUGAAAGCCCCGGGCUCAACCUGGGAAUGGCGAUGGAUACUGGCGCGCUAGAGUGCGGUAGAGGAGAGUGGAAUUCCCGGUGUAGCAGUGAAAUGCGUAGAGAUCGGGAGGAACAUCAGUUGCGAAGGCGGCUAUCUGGACGGUUACUGACGCUAAGACGCGAAAGCGUGGGGAGCAAACAGG